UACGAAGGGUGCAAACGUUGCUCGGAAUUAUUGGGCGUAAAGCGCACGUAGGCGGCUUUGCAAGUCGGAUGUGAAAGCCCUCGGCUUAACCGAGGAAGUGCAUCCGAAACUGCAGAGCUUGAGUACUUAAGAGGAUCGCGGAAUUCCCGGUGUAGAGGUGAAAUUCGUAGAUAUCGGGAGGAACACCAGUGGCGAAGGCGGCGAUCUGGGAAGAUACUGACGCUGAGGUGCGAAAGCGUGGGGAGCA
rnacentral:rRNA from 1 species